rnacentral:rRNA from 1 species
AUGAUUACUGUGCUAUGCAACUUCCAUUCGCGAGGGGGGGCUGUGUUUACACAUCAUACCAUGGGUUUCAUGAAUCACCAUAUCCAGAGAUUCAUCGACACAGCUUGUUCCCAGAAGGAUUGGCUGGUGCUGCCGGCUGGCGUCAAGUUCGAUCCCAUGGAUCAGGAGCUGAUCGAGCACCUUGAGGCCAAAGUGAGUGUUGACAGCGUGAGAAUUCAGUCUCUCAUCAAUUUGUUCAUACCAACCAUCGACAGCGAGCACGACAUAUGCUACACCCAACCUGAGAAACUUCCAGCGCAAUUCCAGGGCGUUCAAAAGGGGCACGUGGACGCGUCGCAAGAUACAGUCGGAGUGCGCAAACGGGCAACAAAAAAGGUUCUGGUGUUGCACACCAACAAGAACUUCGACCAGCAGAGGACCAACUGGGUGAUGCACCAGUACCACAUCGGGGACCUGGAGCAAGAGAAGGAGCGGGAGCUAGUCCUCUGCAAGAUUUUCUACCAGACGAACACUAGGGCCAGGAGUAGUUUGGUAUUGGUAGUUGUACUACCUUGUCGUCCGCAAGUUGGUAUUGUUGUUAACGAUCUUUUGGCCCAGCCCAUGACGACAACGAGGCACAAAGAUCUAGCAGGUAUCUACUGGCCUCUGGCCCACCAACGUUAG